GCUCUGCUACUAGCAUGAGCAUAAGAAAUAUUCGAAGGCUAAUGCAAUCGAAAUAGGCCUUGCAUUUUCUCGUAAAGAUAGGAGUCAUGAUUUCUUGGUGUGACACAAUACAUACAAUCUCACAACACAUUUCAAAA